GGUUCCAUAGAGUAGUGGUUAGCACAUCUGCUUUACAUGCAGAAGGUCCUGGGUUUGAGCCCCAGUGGAGCCA
rfam:Pteropus alecto contig23325, whole genome shotgun sequence.